rnacentral:tRNA from 1 species
AAAGGGAGACCUAAUUCAGGUAGGAGACGAAAAAAAAGUAGUCCCUACCAAGAAUCAAUCCCAAAAGGUCGGAGCGAGGCAAAAUUGGCUUUCAAACUAGGUUCUGGGUUCACACAAGACCUGAAUCAGGAACAAGGGCUAUUAGCUCAGGUGGUUAGAGCGCACCCCUGAUAAGGGUGAGGUCCCUGGUUCGAGUCCAGGAUGGCCCACCUGCACAGGUGGCAAAAACAAGAGAAACGAGGAAUCAGCACCUUAUCUUACUUACAUAGUAAGAGAGAAUGCUGGCUCUGAGUAAAGAGUCCAGAGGAACCUUGAAAACUGCAUAGAGCUAGGUGAAAAAGCCAAAAAAGAAGACCGCAAG